GCGAGCGUGGCGGAACUGGCAGACGCGCCGGGUUUAGGUCCCGGUGCCCUUCGGGGCUUGGGGGUUCGAGUCCCUUCGCUCGCAC
rnacentral:tRNA from 2 species